rnacentral:rRNA from 1 species
GGCGGACGGGUGAGGAAUACAUGGGAAUCUGCCCUGUCGUGGGGGAUAACGUAGGGAAACUUACGCUAAUACCGCAUACGACCGGAAGGUGAAAGCGGCGGACCGCAAGGCGUCGCGCGACUGGAUGAGCCCAUGUCGGAUUAGCUAGUUGGCGGGGUAAAGGCCCACCAAGGCGACGAUCCGUAGCUGGUCUGAGAGGAUGAUCAGCCACACUGGAACUGAGACACGGUCCAGACUCCUACGGGAGGCAGCAGUGGGGAAUAUUGGACAAUGGGCGCAAGCCUGAUCCAGCCAUGCCGCGUGAGUGAAGAAGGCCUUCGGGUUGUAAAGCUCUUUUGUCCGGAAAGAAAAGCUCUCGGUUAAUACCCGGGGGUUCUGACGGUACCGGAAGAAUAAGCACCGGCUAACUUCGUGCCAGCAGCCGCGGUAAUACGAAGGGUGCAAGCGUUACUCGGAAUUACUGGGCGUAAAGCGUGCGUAGGUGGUUCGUUAAGUCUGAUGUGAAAGCCCUGGGCUCAACCUGGGAAUGGCAUUGGAAACUGGCGAUCUAGAGUGCGGUAGAGGGCAGUGGAAUUCCCGGUGUAGCAGUGAAAUGCGUAGAGAUCGGGAGGAACAUCUGUGGCGAAGGCGACUGCCUGGACCAGCACUGACACUGAGGCACGAAAGCGUGGGGAGCAAACAGGAUUAGAUACCCUGGUAGUCC